rnacentral:tRNA from 1 species
CGGGGAGUAGCGAAGUUGGCAUCGCGCUGCUUUUGGGAAGCAGAGAUCGUCGGUUCAAGUCCGGCCUCCCCGA